rnacentral:tRNA from 1 species
GCACUCAUGGUGUAAUUGGAAGCACGUCGGGUUAGCAAUUAGAAGGUCCGAAGUUCAGAUCCCGGUGAGGGCA